rnacentral:tRNA from 1 species
GCGGGGUAGCUCAGUGGCAGAGUAGCGGACUGUUAAUCCGCGUGUCGUGGGUUCGACCCCCACCCCCGUCG